GGGAGUGGCUGGGUUGGGAGGCAUCUUUUUAUUCUAUAUAAGAUGGUCAGGAAACCCUCCAUGACAAGGUGCCAUGAGAGCAGGACCUGAAGGAAGGGAAGGAGGGGUCACACAUGUCACUGGAAGAAGAUUAUUCCAAGGAGUGGGAACAGUCAGUGCAAAGGCCCUGGGGCAGGAACUUACUUGGCAGAUUUCAGGGUCAGGAAGCCAUUGUGAUGGCAACAGAUGGGAUGAGGAGGAUGACAUGAGAGUGCAGGCAGGAACCAGUUUGUACAGGACAGUGCUGCUGAAAGGUGAUCUGCAAGGAGCCAAGGAGGUUGGGUCAGAAAGUAGAUCAACCACAUCACUAAGUGUCCUGUUUAUUUCGGUGGACACUUUCUUCUUUGCAAGACUUUCUCCACCAAAGCACAGAGUUGACCUUCCAGUGGAAACUCCCCGUCUUGAUGCGGACCAGCACUGUGAGCAUCACUAACCUGGGCCUGUGGGCAGAGAACAUGAGUUCCUGAGGGCAGGAAGUUGUCUGAUCUUGCUGUUCUCCCAGUGCCUGGAACAGGCUGCAAACACCUGUGGAUGAAUGAAUGCGUGUUCCCAGGGCCCUCCACAUCCUGGUGUUUAUUUUCCAGUUUCUAAUGGAGGAGCCCCUGCCAGGGGCCAUGCCCUCUGUGGACAGGGGAUGAAGGGGACUCCAUGGUGUCCGUUGCCUGCUCUGUCCCUCCUUCUGUGAGAAGAGCUGGGGUCCAGAAAUGCUCACAAGGACUGCUGCUCCCGAGAUGUCAGCUCUGCUGUCCUUCCUCCGUCUUCGCUGAGCCUCCUCCCAGAGCAGGAGUGCCUCUCCAGAGCAGGAGUUCUGGGGCUACAUCAGGAACUCUUGUCACAGAGAUGUCACCCCCACUGUGCAUUGGAAUCACCCGUGGAACUUUAUAAAGACUGUGAAUGCCCAGAGUCAGAAGAUUCUGCAAAAAUGAAGAUUCUCACCCGGCAGGUGUGGGGUGGACCCAAAAGUCUGCAUCUAACAAGCUCUCAGGUGAUGCUGAUCACACUGGCCUGUGGAGCACACUUUCAAUAGCAAGGCUGAUGGGGACCCCUGUGCCCUGAGAGGACAACCCGCCUGGCCCCAGCGUUGGCCUCUGCUGUGUCCUGGCCUUGUGUCUGUCAGCACCACACAGAGACCCGGGAGUCUCCAAACCAGGGAGAUUAUUUCUGUUUGUGACACAGAAACCCAGCUGGGCACUAGGGUCUUCCCAGUGUCCUCAAAUGCUCUGGGAAAGUUGGAUUUACUCCCAGCAGUCAGGUCACAGAGGUGACUCUGGAGGUGAGAAAGGGGCAAGUGGAGUAAUGACUGGUGAGGGGACCUGCCCUCCAUCUCCAGUGGCACCAGUCUGAUCUCUGCUUCCAGGAACAGACACCCAGUACCUGGUGCCUUAGGAACUACAGCUCCUGGGUGUGAAGGGGGAGGUUACUGUGUGUCCUGGGUGAGAGGAUGGUGGGAUGGGAGGUCAGGUGGCUGUGGGGUACCUGGUCCUUGGGGGAAGGUUUUAGGGAGACCCCCCUCUCCAUGUGUGUUUGCUGAGCUGUGGCUCAGAGUCUGUCCAUGUGCUCCCUCACCAUCCUGGGGGCCUCUGUCCUCUGGCUGGCUGACUUUCUUAUGCUCACCUGCCUUCCCCACAGGUGGUACCAGGCAGGGAGUAGGGAGAUGCACAGGGAUCCCUGACAGAGCAGGGUUCUCUGAGGCCCUUAGAAGGGGAGGUGGAAUGGAGCAGGCACGAGGUAUGGGACCAGAAGGAUCUGCUGGACCCAGGGAUGGGAAUCAGGUUCCUUUUCCACCUCCCUGGUCAAAGCCCUGGUCAAUUGCUGUGUUAAUUUCCUGUGUGUUGUCUGUGUAUUCAGUGUUGCCCCCUGGAGGGCAUGAGGAGACCUGCAGCCAAUGUCAGGGGCUGCACCAGCAAUGCUGACCAGGCUCCAGAGUGUGUGAGCUGAUCCUGAGCCCUGGACAGAGGUGGGCUCUGACCUCUAUGCUGAGAAUCCCUUCAGCCUGCGUCUUGUCACUGAGCGUCCUCAGGCUGCCCCACUCCAUCCUAGUGCAGGGUGAACCAAGGGUGAGGACAGGCAUUGCUCAGUGGACUCCCCAUCCAGUGUCCUGUGCUGCCUGGUGGAUGUGCUGCCUCAGGAGGAGCUCUCUGCCCCCAAGGUUCAAAGGAAAGGGCAAGCGAGUGGUCUCUUGAGAUCUCAAAGCACUCUGCGAGGUCUCAAGACCUGUGGGGCUGGUCCUCAGAAUGGCCUGUGUUUCUCCCAUCACGGCACUGGGGUCUUGCAUCUAAGUCAUCUAUGUCCCUGUCUGUCAUCUGCUUUAGGUUUUCCUACAGGGCCCAGGAGCUGGAGAAGCUCCACCUGGAUACUCAGACAGGGGAUCCUGUGGGUUCCUCUGUUAGGAGAGGAGAGGCCCUAUGGGACCCUCAGCCCCUCUGAGAUGGAAGCAAAUGCACAUCCUGGUUCUCCUGUCCCAUCCUGGAUGGGAAAGUCCCCUUGUUCCCCCUGGAUGCCUUGGGCUGGUGACAUGUCUUCAGGGGACCACAUCCAGGUGUCCCACAGACCAGAGGCCCUGGGGAUGGGGAGUCGCCCCCUGAUUCCUUUGAGGUCAAGGUGGGCCACCCCCUCUUCUAAGGGUAAGUCUACCCAAUGCUGAGAAUUCAGAGUUUGUACAAAGUCAGGUCUCCAUGAGCAAAGGAAGGCCACAGGCUGCUGGCCCAGGCCCUUAGGGGAGAGAAGUCACUCACAAGGUAGAGAUGGGGAGGGGGGUGUGUUUUUCUAGGAAUGAUUGGGAUCCGACCCCUUACUGUUAGGAGGCCCCUGUCCUCCCUCUUGACUCUACAAGGGGAAAGGCCCAUCCCAGGGACAGCCCUGCUGGCCUCCUCUCAUGCUGAUGCCAGUGCCCCCACGUCUACAAGGAACAUGCUCUGACCCCCAGGUGUCACAUGGUGGUGUCAGACUUCUGUUGUGUGAUUUCCCUCAUCCAUUUAAUGAGUAUUUUCUGAGCUUCUGUGAUGUGUCAGACCUUGGUCUGGGCCCUGGAAACUCCACAGAGAAGAGGACACAUGUGGGCCCUGGGUCACAGAGUUUGCCUUGUGAUGGGGAGACAGGCAGUCAGAGAAAAUCAUGGAAUUAAGGUGUAAUUGUAAUUGAGAGAAGAGCUGUGAAGAGAAAGUGUCUGGUGCUUCUGGAACAUGUAAUGGAGUCUCAGCUGGUUUGAGAAAGUGACCUUUGCCUUAGACCUGAAGCAUUAGUGGGCGUUUGCCCCAUGAAGGACAGAGGCUGUGGAGAGAGGAGCUGCCUACAGAGGGACCAGACUUUAGGGGGACAGACGCCUGGCUGGAUGGAGGGACUGACAGAGUCCAGUGUGUGGAGCUUGGAGAGCGAGGAAGAUGGUGGACUGAAUGACGCUGAACAUUUAGAAAGAGGACAAGUGAGUAGAAGGCCGUGCUCCCUCAGGGAAGGGAGAGGGAGGCCCCUCCAGCGGCAGUACAUCCUGGGGAGACCCUGCUUCCUGCCUGCUCUGCACCCGGCUUUGUCCGCACCUGUGACUCCAGGCUGGUGAGUGGUUGGGCGGAUUUUCACAGUCUGAGCUGAGGUUUACUUUCUCAGAGGUGUGGUGGAUGGGAAAAUGCCAGAUUCGGAGCUGGGAGGUCUGGGUCAAGGCGCACGUCUUCAUUCUCUAAGAGAAGAGCGUAGCCCUUCAGAUCCCAGCUCUGGCUCAGACACAUCGGCCCAAAGUGGGUCCUGCCACUGACCAUCAAGGAGACCUUGGACAGGUAACUCCUUCUCUUUGGACCUCAGUUUCUUCAUCUGUAAAAUAGGACAAUGCCAGCGUCUACCUCAUAGGGUUGAUUUGAUACAUGCAAAAUGCUUGGACAGAGUCUGGCAUGUAACAGUGUUAGUGGUUAGUGUGAGAAGGGUCCUUGGGAUCAUCCACUCCAGUCCCUGCUCACUGGGAAAGGCAGUGUGUGUAGUGGUCAAGUGCGUGGGCUCAGUAGCCUGUUGCCUGGUUUGAACUCAGAUCUGCCUUCUCCUGGCUGUGUGACCUGGUGCAAGUCACUUGACCUCUCUGUGGUUCAGUUUCCUCAACUGCACAAUACAGAUGAUAAACAAUAACUACCUGAUACGGUUUUGUGAGGAUGAAAUGAGUCAACACCUGUAAGAUGUUCAGAGCUGAGCAUGGCACACAGUAAAUCCUUGAAAAUAUUACCUGUUGUUAGUAAGAUUCCAGGAGCUGGGCUUAUGGGAAGAACUCUGACAGUGGAUCCCAGGGUCCUAGCGCCUGGCUCUCCAGGGAGCGCGUGAGACCUUGGGCAAGUUGUUUCCCCUCCCAGGGCCUCUGCUUCCCACUGGGACCUGGAUGAGGUUCCCACCUCUGUCCUCUCUGUGUCUUCUCAGUUCUCCAACCCUGGACGAUGGCUCUUAUCCUUAAUCCUCUCUGUGAAAAUACUUGGAGCAGCUCUUGGAUUCUGACUGAUAUAUUCUCCAUCCCUGACAACCAGUGGGGGCUGAGGAAUUGGAAAAUGGGCACUGCCUUCUUCCACCAAGUCAUUAGAGCCAGCAAACACCAAUGACCCUGAGGCCACCGUUCUUCACACACAGAAUCUGGUGUUCACUGACCACCCACGUGAGCCAAGCACGAGUGGGGAUUUCACCUUCUUAUCCUUUGCCUCUGAGGGGCAGCCUGGAGUUUGUCUGUGCAGGUCCUGGGCGUGGACCUACGCACCACUCAUCAAGCCAUGCUGAGGCGGCAUCCCACAUAGAAGACUUAGAAGGACGUACAACGAGGAUAUACAGAUAUGUACUGGGGCUUUGGGGAGAAAAAAGAAGAAAGGAGGAAGAUUGGCAACAGAUAUUAGUUCAGGGCCAAUAUUCCUCCUUCCCCCUAAAAAACUUAUUUGAUUUGCAUAAAGAAACUGUAGAAAACUUUGUAAGUAACUAAUAGCAUAGGUCACCAUUGGCGACCUGGAUACAUAACAAAUAGGGAUGGGACAGAGACUUUUCAUGUUUCUAUACAUGUAGUAUACACACAUUUUGGGGUCAUGUAAAUAUAAUACCUAUUCACAAAGUUAAGUCGAAAAAAUAAAUGGAAAUUACUGAGGGAUGGGGUUAAACAGGGCCCCUGCUGAGGAGGACCGCAAAGCCAAAUGGUGCAAAGCCUUGUAUACUUCACUCGGCUGUUUGGAUCCUGUGGACUUGGGGAACUCUGGAAUGGCAACCAGACCUGAGAACGAUCAUCUCAGCCAAAGAGAAAAGAAUGAACUGGAGCAUUAUUCACAAUAGCCAAGAUAUGAGAACAACCUAUAUGUCCAUCAGCAGAUGAAAGGAUAAAGAAGAUGUACAUGUACAUGAUGGACUGUUAUUCAGCCAUGACAAAGGAGGACAUCCUGCCAUUUGGGACAACAUGGACCUUGAGCGCAUUCCGCUAAGUGAGAUAUCAGACAGAGAAAGAGAGUACUGUAUGAUAUCACUUAUAUGUGGAAUCUGAAAAAGGCCAAACUCGUAAAAUCAGAGUAUAAAAUGGUGGCUAUCAGGGGAUGGGGUUGGGGGGAUAAGAUAGAUGGUGGUUAAGGGUACAAACUUGCAAAGAGAGUAAGGAAGCCCUAGAGAUCUGAUGCACAGCGCAUAUAGAGGAUAUGGACAACAAUAUGGUAGUAUCGUCAUGAAACUUGCUAAGAGACUAGGACUUAACUGUUCCCACCACUAAAAAGGAAAGAUAGUUACGUAAUGUGAUAGAGGUGCUGGGUAACGCUUCAAUGAUAAUAAUAUUACAAUGUGGAAAUGGAUCCAAUUAACAUGUUGUACACCUUAAAUUUACAGUUAUAUGUGAAAUAUAUUCAAUCAGAAAGAAAAAAGUUUAAAAAUAAAAGCAAAGCCUCCUUUCAACCCAGAAAACCUCUCCACACGGCUACAAGACAAAAAAAAAAACAGUUUUAUUACUGAAUGAGCAUUAAACCAGAAUGUGACGUGCACCACAGGCAAUCCGCCACGAAACCGCAAAGACAGAAGGACAGCUCACCCCUUAUCUACCCAGGCAGAUACAGCCCCUCACACACGUGUUCUCAAGAUACACAAUACGAGUCCUCAUGUAGGAGGACUUGAUGGCACCAUUGGUCACACUGAGUUCAUUCUAAAUGCAUCUGGUAACUGGGGCCACCAUCUGUGUUAGUUAACUGGCUUUAUCCAAACGAAGAAUAACCUUCUCAUCCCUUUACGACUGGAGGUCGUUUUGCCCCAGGAGUGAGGUGUCCACCUCAGUUAGGCUCCUGCCCUUCCCAGAAGCUGGGAGACAGGGUGCUGUCUUCCCUGCUGAUUGCAUUUCAAAGAGAUGGCUUUCCUGUGCUUGAGAAAGACAUCCCUGGGUUGUAAGGCUGGCAAGGGGCUUAUUUACAUUUUUAAAAGAUUUCCAUACAUUUCAAAGGGACAGAGAAAGAAUUUAUAAUUAUACAUUUUCUGAAGAAAAUGCUCUGC
rnacentral:lncRNA from 1 species